CUCGUCUCCUCCCUCCCCCUCCUCCGGUUGCCCGCGCCCGCUCCUUGCAAACUCUCCAUUCAGCCGGGUUUGUUGUUGCAGUGCGUGCGCCUGGCGCGUGCCGGACUCCCGGCUGAAUAAACAGGCUGCGCGCUCGGGGCGGUGACUCGGGGCGCCAGGGGGUGGCUCUAGAAAUGGGUACCUUCUUUUUAAGAAGGGUAAAUGGCUCUGGGACUUUGGGUGCCUAGCUGGAAAGUCUGGAGGGAAAGUGUCUUUGGAGUCUACUGAGAACUUGGAAGAAAAUGCACGGAAGGAUUUAGGGGAAAAGUAGCAAAGGAACUUCAUACAGCUGGCGCUUAGAAGUCAGAUGCAGCUAAGAAGAGACCAGUAUCAUCGAGGAACAGGACAGCAUGUGGAAACUGGGGACCAGGGGGAGCCAAGGCUGCUCAUUAUGCUGGUAACUGAAGAUGGAGUCCGUGAUUGAGAGACUUCGAACCUCUAAAGGUGUUUAGGGAAGAGCACACCUUUAUCCAGUGCUACAGGAACAACUCUGAAAACAUACAUCCAAGUAACACUGCAGACUAAAUAGUUCCUGCCUUGAAUUCCUGCCUUGGCUUCCUUCAGCGCACUGUGACUCAGGAUAUGUAAGCCAGAAAGACCUAUUUCCUCCCUCAGACUUCUCUCCGUGGGAAUGAGCCCGGCUUGCACCUGCAUCAAGGACUCCAGACUUCUAAUGAAUCAAUUCACUUUUUCAAUAUGUCUUAAAAAAGAAAAGUUGGAGAAGAAAAACAAAACAAAACAAGCAAGUAUAUUUUAUUGUGGCUUUUUGGAUAAGGAAGAAAGGUGGAGGCGGAGUAAUUUGCAGGCACCCUCACAGAGUCUUUUGAAGUUCUCCAAAUAAGAAGAACUAAUGCUAACUCUUUAUUUUUUUUCUAAAGCCCCAUUUACAUUAUGAUUAAAUACCUUCCUUGGGUAGGCAUAAAGAAAGUCGUUAAUCUAUAUAGCUCUCCAAAGAAUCAAUACAUUCUAAACUUUUGUAGGAUUUGUUACACUCUAUUUUGUUGUUACAGUAGGCUCGCCCAGCUCUGUCUAGGCACAUGGUUCUUCUUCUUCCCUCCCCCUCAGCACCUCCUCCAAGAAUGAAAACAAAGCCAAGGUCUUUCACCAUAAACAAAACCAGCUGAUUCUUCACAGAGAACCCCUGAAUAGCUUGAGAAAGGGGGGAGAAAACUUACAAUAAAUGGUGCAUUUUUUUUCUCUGCUGGGUAUAGCAUUCAAGGAUCAGGGCAGUAUUCAAACAGAGGUCCAUUUUUUUGCUCAGCAAGCGAGUUUAGAAAAGAAGCGUGGAGUCCAUUCAGAGCCACCCCCGCACAAUCACGGGGCUCUGUGAAAACUAUCUUCCAUGCCUUGUCAGACUGUUUCUGGGGACCAAUUAGCGCUUUGUUGCACGGCUUCUUUGGCUGCGUCUUUGAGCAGCAGGAAAAAGCGCUCUUGAGUCUCCCCUUAUUUUGACCAUUUCAGUCAUUACUCAGUGUAAUAAUUAAUAUGACAACUGGACGCUCCGGUUUGUAUAGAAACACCUCAACGACAGGAGCGAGUUUGCAGUGGGUGGUAACGAGCCGCACAUCGGCCCUAGAAGCCACACACACAAAAAGGGAAUGAAUGGCGACAGAGAAAGAGAAGGAAUAAAGAUAAAAUAGUUGGCACAACGCACAGCGACAUAAAACAGCCUGGGACGGGAGAGAGGGAGGAGGAACCCGGACAAUUAGAAGGGGAGGGGUAAACACCCUACGGAGGUUAACUUAGUUUGAAACUGUUUUGUGAAUAGAACCGUGGACGUGAGUGGCCAGAUUUCAGCCCAUUGCCCCCACCUCGCCCCCGCCCUUUUAUGAACCAUUUUGGAGGAGGGGUGGGAAUAGGGGCUGCUGCAAUCUUUAGAUUGUUCCCGGACUCCUAGAAAGUGCAUCCACGGGCUACCAAGCUUAGAUCCCAGCAGCCCCUUGUUUGGUGUUCAGCAGAAGCCAGGUCACCUUGACAGGACCAGAUAUACCUGACAUUUUCAGGGGAUGAAUUUUGGGGAAAAUAUAUUAGAGACUUCCAGACACUACAUCAACUCUGCACAGUCUACGUCUGCGGGACUCCGGAGCUGAGAGGGGGCUCCAGAGUUGCAACGCUGCUACCGCAUCUCAGUGGUGCUGUGCGCCCCAGGCUGCGACCCCUAUGGACCGGCAUAAUAAAUAAUUAGAACGUUUAAGGCUGUUGGCCACAGCUCAUGCUAAUGAGGCAGAUAGGAACUCACACUAAGCCUAAGCCACAGUUUGCAUAAAAAAAAAACAACAAAAAAAACCCCCCACAAAAUUCCCGAAACUUAAAACCUGCUCUUUUUGCCCCAACUUGUUCCUUCUGUAAUUCCUGUUCCCCCAACCUUUUACUUAAUUCUGAUGCCUCCCUCACCCACAGCCUCAAUAUUCCUUCCACCCAGAGGGGCUUCCUUGUGAAGACUGCCCCAGACCUCUGAAGGUUCACUCGCAGCUGCCCUGUCCGGCCGGUCAUCUAGUGAUGGUUUUCUUUGUAUGGAACACAAGCCAAGUUCACAUCCUGAAGAUUCUGAAAGCUCGGGAAACCCGGGCUUCUGUAUGCCUUGGAUGCUGUCCAGGUUCAAGGGGCCAGAGGAGCUUCCAGGUGGGUGAAGAAUUGGGGCCCAAGAAAAGGGGAAGUUCCUGAACUGCUCCUACCGCCUCCCCGAAGCCGGGACAUUUUACCAAAGUGUCUGAGGUCAGUCGUGUGUCCCCAUUGUGUGGCCACGCGUCCUGUGUCCAUCAGCACCUCCCCAAGCCCGGACUCAGCCGGACUUCUUGCUGUGCACUCUGGGAAUACGGUGGCUGAUCAAUCGGUGGACGGAGGACAUGGAUACUGGCACAGAGAGCCAAGGACAAAGUUUACUGGUAACAGGUUUCAGAGGAAGCAGAAGCCAGGCCAGCCACCGAGAGAGACAUCUAGCCUGCCUGAUUCGGCCAGUUUUAGCGCAAACAAGGAACAGCACCCAGCAGGAUUUUCAGUCCUUUGUGGGGGUGGGGGAGAAGGCGGUGGAGGUGGGGUGGGGACAAGGGUUAGGGAGUAAUUUUUAAUGUGGAUAUUCCUUAGCAUGAAACCCGAAAGAGCAACAAAGACAAGAUUUAAGGACUUACUAUUUGUAAAAUUUGGACAGGAGUGCCAGGCACAUGGGAAGCCACAGAUGUGUGUUAUAUAUAACACUCACCCUGAAAUAUGGAGCGAGGGACACACUGGUCCUGCUAAGUACUAGAAAAUACUGUUGAAUUCUAAAAGUGACUAAAGCUGACACGGCCAUCGAUCCAUCACAUAACUGGCAAGUCUAGUCCCAUGAAUGGUCCGUGUGGAAGGAAAGAAAGUCCAUUAACACAGGGCAGGACAACAGGGAUUGUCCUGAUUUUCCGGACUCCACCCUCUCCACAUACCUGAAUGCCGCCCAGAUAUAAAUUCCAGGUAAAAACAGUGGGGUGUAAACACAUCCUCAAGUUACCCAGAACCUCUCUGCUAAGCAGACACUUGACAGUGUAGAAAAUACAAGCUGGACUACACAGACCUCGAUGAGAGUCACUUUCCUCUUUGAUCUCUCUCUCUCUCUCUCUCUCUCUCUCUCUCUCUCUCUCUCUCUCUCUCUCUCUCUCUCAUCUUUCCUCUAAAAUAACCUUCAUGGAUCAAUGAUGAUGUUGCCCUCAACCUGCUGAUGCUCAAAUUAUGAACCUUGCUAACCCUCAGCAUCCCAGAGACAAUGAUUAGUGUUAGGGACUUGGGUAAACUUUGGGUCUUUGGUGCACCUUGGUUAACAUGCAACGGAAUGAAACACCGCUGUUGCCCACAGCCUAACUGGAGAAACAAAACAGUCAUCUGUGACUGUUUCUCGCCUGAAGACCUGGGGACCGCCUUGUCGUCUGUUGCGGGAUGUGUGGAUCGCUUGCCACCUGCUGGUUGUUUGUCGAACUGCAGCAGGGAUGUGUUGAAACUCUGCCGCGGGAUUCGUUCAGUUCAAAUAAGUCUCUUAACUCUGCUCUGUGUAAUCAGUCUGAAUAUUUGAGCUGCAAGAACUUCAUCCACCGAGUCAUCAUCUUCCCAAACACUGGGGUGCGGUUAACAUUCGGGUUCUGGAGCUUCAUCCCACGCCCCCUCAGACAAGACCUGGGACCUUGUUCUCUCAACAAACCCCGUUUCCUAUGCCAAGGAUGGGAACUGCCUCACCUGAGGUGUGCCUCGUGGGAAGGCGGUGAAGACGGAACCUUUUCUGAUCCGUGCCUUGUUUAGCCGUCAUCAGAGACGAGUCCGUCCUGCAGCAGAUGGAACAACUGUAGGCCAGCAGACUGAUACCACACAGAGAUGGAGAGACCCUGAAGCACACAGCCCUGCAUGGGAUGCCCCCGCCCAAUCUUUCUUUCUCCUCACCCCAUGCUUUUGCCUGAAGCAUCAGUUUAAUGUCUGUAUUAAAUCACAAUUAUACUCAUAAACAAACAAAAAAGUUUGUCAUCCAAAAAGGAAGUCUACCCAUGCUGUAACUUUAUGACUAUCUUCACCCUUUUAUUUCUCAUCCCGCCAAUGUUUACCCUUUACCAAAGGUCCUAAUUUUGAUGGUUAAACUUAUGUGUCAACUUGACUGGGCAAGAGUGCCCAGAUAUCCCAGAUAUCCAGCUACAUAUUUUUAGCACUUGUCUCUAAGGAUGGUUCUGGAUGACUUUAACAUCUGAAUUGUAGAUUGAGUAUGACAUUACUUUCCCUGUGUUGGGACCCAGCCACUCUGAAGGCGACCUGAAGAGAGCAGACAGGGAGAAUUCCAUCUCUGUCCAGCUGUUUUCUCACUUUCUACCUCUCGCCCCCAGACUGGGGCGGAGACAAGAGUUCGUGCUGCAGGACUGGAAUAGCACUCCAGCAUCCAGCAUCGAUGAAACUAGAAGAGAGGAAAUGUAGUCGCCGUGCCAUGGGUCAAAGUCAAGGUAGUUCCUGAAAGCCUUUGGUCCUCGGUCCGUUUCCAUUCCUGUGUUAUACUCUCAAACCACAAGGUGGGGUGAACAAGCAAGUGAGAUUUCACGGAAGCACACCCAGCAGUCAGCUUUCUGUUUUUGAAGGCAUAUAUUCUAGUGGACAGGUGUAAGCGUUUGUGGUCAGGUUGCUAAGGGCAAUGGCCCAUGAUUUCAGCUGUUUCUCCAGGUCUUUUUGUUCCAGGUAGCAGGUGAAUUCAUGCUUGGAAAUUAACACUACAGCAGCACUUAAAGAUGCCCUGCUUCUUAUCCCUUUGAACACAACGAAAGAAAAAUAAAAGUGUGUCUACAUUUAUUUAAGUGUGAUUGUCAAGAGUACUCCUGGCAAAGAAAUGCUGGCCAAGAGUUGAAGAAACGUGAACUGUGUAGAACAGAAGAUUCCUCAAGACUGUAAGAUCAGGUGACUGACAGACCUGGGUGCUUCAGGAGCCCUUUUCACACCCCAAGUCCACAAAAUGAUGUAAUCACAUCCUCUGAACAUACGUGAAAUGGAUCCUUGUCUGACCUUACUCGUCUGGCUCUUGGCGUCCACGGCCUCGGGAUGUGAGCAAUGGAAUGGGUGAGCGGUGACGUUCAGGGUGCAGUACCCAUACUAAUAACCUCAGGAGCGUGGAUCGUGAGAAAACACAGUGAGGUUAGUGGGGAAGGGGUUGGGUGUCAUAGUUUUGAUAUGCAUACUUAUUCAGUUGUGAGUUUAUGGGAUUCAUUUUAAAGUUACAGUUAUAUUUAGCAUCAGGGUUACCAAAUGCUUGAAAACUUCUUUUCUUUUCUUUUCU